rnacentral:rRNA from 1 species
AUUGAACGCUGGCGGCAGGCCUAACACAUGCAAGCCGAGCGGAUGAGUGGAGCUUGCUCCUUGAUUCAGCGGCGGACGGGUGAGUAAUGCCUAGGAAUCUGCCUGGUAGUGGGGGACAACGUUUCGAAAGGAACGCUAAUACCGCAUACGUCCUACGGGAGAAAGUGGGGGAUCUUCGGACCUCACGCUAUCAGAUGAGCCUAGGUCGGAUUAGCUAGUUGGUGAGGUAAAGGCUCACCAAGGCGACGAUCCGUAACUGGUCUGAGAGGAUGAUCAGUCACACUGGAACUGAGACACGGUCCAGACUCCUACGGGAGGCAGCAGUGGGGAAUAUUGGACAAUGGGCGAAAGCCUGAUCCAGCCAUGCCGCGUGUGUGAAGAAGGUCUUCGGAUUGUAAAGCACUUUAAGUUGGGAGGAAGGGCAGUAAGUUAAUACCUUGCUGUUUUGACGUUACCAACAGAAUAAGCACCGGCUAACUUCGUGCCAGCCGCCGCGGUAACAC